rnacentral:rRNA from 1 species
GGGCGCAAGCCUGAUCCAGCAAUGCCGCGUGAGUGAAGAAGGCCUUCGGGUUGUAAAGCUCUUUUGUCAGGGAAGAAACGGUGGGAGCUAAUAUCUCCUGCUAAUGACGGUACCUGAAGAAUAAGCACCGGCUAACUACGUGCCAGCAGCCGCGGUAAUACGUAGGGUGCAAGCGUUAAU